rnacentral:rRNA from 1 species
CGAGUGGCGGGAGGGUGAGUAAUGUCUGGGAAACGUGCCUGAUGAGGGGGAUAACUACUGGAAACGGUAGCUAAUACCGCAUAACGUCGCAAGACCAAAGGGGGGACCUUAGGGCCUCUUGCCAUCGGAUGUGCCCAGAUGGGAUUAGCUAGUAGGUGGGGUAACGGCUCACCUAGGCGACGAUCCCUAGCUGGUCUGAGAGGACGACCAGCCACACUGGAACUGAGACACGGUCCAG